UCUGCUUAGGAAACAGACGCUCUAUCCACUGAGCUACAGGCGCUGGAUGCUAACAUAACUCACUUCCACUUUAAUGAUCUCUAUAACAAUUUUUCCACCCAUUGAAUUUGAACAAGUGUGUUUGGGAGGAAAUCUGAGAGUUUCAAUUCAGAAUUUGAGAGAGAAAUGGAGGAGGAGUCGAUUCGGAGCUUCUGCAAUUCGACGGCUUCAUUCGAGCAGCUGCGACGCCCUCAAGACCUCCAUCGACCGCCGUCCCAUCCCUCUCGCCACCGCCUCCUCCACCUUCAACCGCCGCGUCUCCUCCGCCAGCUCCCACCUUAACCUCCUCGAAUCCAUCUCCUUCGAGGAGCUACGAGGUCCACAAGGACAACCACUCCCGCCUCCAGCCCUUCGGUUACGUCCCCGGUACUCUGACUUCUCUCCCACUCUAAUUUCGUCCUUAAUCCAAUUUCAUUUAAUUUUUCCUGUUUAUCACAAUUUGUUAAUUUUUGCUAGUUUUUUUUGUUUUGUUUUGGGUACAACUUGAAAUUGAUGAGGAGGAUGACGAUGUAUCGUCGCCCAUUACUCAACAAGAUGGACCAGAAGACGACGACGAUUUAUUAGACGAGCCCUUGAGUUUGAAGAAGCUGGGGCUUUCGUAUGCUUCUCUUGCCACAUUAGCAUUCCAAGCUAAUGCUAGAAAUGAAGACCAACAUGUGUCUUUUCCUUCGUCUCUCUCGUAUGAUCCUUCCAAGGAGAGCUCGGGAGCGUCUUUGGAUGGAUCGCUCUCAGAUUGCGAUGUAGGGGAGGUUGAGGAUAAACAGAUGGUUGCAUCUUGUGAAGGUCUGCAGGGAUGUUACGAGUCUCUUCCUUCCUACAUGAAAAGUCUAGCGCCCUGGGAGGACCUGCUUGCUGCUGUAGAGAAGAUCAACUCAGGCCUGAAACAGUGAAUUCUCUUUCGAUUACCAGUGAAAGAAAGAGACGAAGAACAAGAGGAUGUUUGGAAGAUGUUGCUGCUUAGCUAAUGACUAGAGGGGCUGUGCAUUUAUAUAAUCCGACUGGCAUGAAUCGCAUGAUGAACCUUGUUUAUUGAUGCAGUCAGAUUAUUCACAUCAUUUAAAAAGUGCUCAUGAUAUUUGUUCCGAUCAUUUGUUUUUAAUUUUCAAUCUUCUUUUCACUUGUUAUCAGUGAAGGAAUUCUCUGUUAGAUAACAAGUGAAAGAAGAUUGAAGAUAAAAAACAAGACUGUUUGAAAAAAUGUUGCUGCUUAGCUAGUGCAUUUGAAUAACCCGAUUGGCAUGAAUUUUGAAUGACAAAACCAUGUUUAUUCAUGUAGUCGGGGUGAGCCUUUGGCAUGAAAGCUGGCUGACUCAUAGCCUUUAUGUGUUUCUCUGCUAUCGAUUCGAGGAUGAAGGUUGCAUUUGCGAACCUGGGUUCUGGGCCUCCACUGCUUCUGCUUCUGGAGCAUUGCCUCCUACCCAAGCGUAGUAUAUGGCACAGACACUCUCACUAAGACAUCAAGGCAUCAAACAUUAAUCCUGACUCUAGCUAAUUAUGAAAGCUAGCUGCUGGAGUUCAACUGUAAAAGGUAGUAUUCUUGCUUCAAGCUAUCUUGCUAGUUCUUAUCUAUGACAAUGCUCAAAUAUCAUUCAUGUUUUUCACAGCCUUUGUAGUGACACUGUCAAUAGAGUGUACUGUAUUACAUCUAAACUCUAAUAAUCCAAUACUCUGAAGAUGAUACGAAGGACAUAUAGUCUAAUCUAAUAUAAGGUGUGGGGAGAUGCAGCAGGACGUAGGACUGGAAACCGUAUAUAAAUAUAAGGGAUCGGAGUUGGGACGCCGGCGCAACCCUCACGAAUCAUUAUAGCUAGGGCCCGGGAUGUAUAAACAAGUGAAAAUAAGAUUGAAAAAGAGCAACUCUAACAAUUUACAUAUGAUGCAAUCCUUGGAAUUAUGAUGUAAAUUGUUUUCUGAAUCUACCUUGUAAGUUCUAAACUUUCUUGUGAUCAUACGUACAUUUUUAUC